ACCAAAACUGCAGAGCUGAGUCCUUCAAAGGUGACCUGGGCUCCAGCACCUUCCGUAUGUCAUACCUCGGCACCUUCCGUACAGUCCAGAGCUGCCCAUGCUGGCUUCCUUCAGCCUCCCUGCUCAUCAGGACUGCCCAGUCCACACUCUCCCCAUACCUACCCCAUGCUUCCCUCCUAUGCAUGCUCUUACCUGUCAAAGGAACACCAGUGACUAAACGCUCCUCUCAAGCUGCCUCCUGGGUUCUCCCUACCCCACCGUCCUCCCAGGGAAACAAGCAUUUCAACGGCACCAUGGGCCUUCACUAUCCUUGCUGGGGAGCCACGCCGUGUCUGUCUUCUCUCUUAACAUAGAAACGAGAAACAGUGGCCCAGCAUCAAACCUUCUAUAUUUCCCUUGGGCCAGAGGCCAGAAAGCCAAGGUCAAGGGAGGCACAGCUCCAGAGAUCACCUCAACGGACAAGCUCUGUGUUCUACAUCACUUGGGAAAUGCUAGCAAGAAAUGAAUCAUCAGGGGAACCGAUGUAGGCCUUGGUGUGCACUUGGCCAGGAAAAUCUUAGACCCUGAUCUUUCUUGCUCAGUUUCGUUUUGCAGCUGAACUUCUCCUGCAGCCUUCUGCAGGGUUAAGUCAGUGCCUCAUGCUGUUCUUGUUCACAGGAGCCUAGGGGUGAGCGGUUUCCCCGUGCAGAGAAUUUGUCAGCAGGACUUCAAGCUCUGCAGACGCCACCAUCUGAUCCUGAUAAUCCGUCUUGGAGAGCUACAGACUCACCGUAUCUGGGCUGCAGAGCUUGGUCCUGCCCUUCCAGUUGGCCUUUGAUGCCUCAAGACGCAGAUGCCACACCUAACACUGAACCCUGUGCUUUAGCCUGGGGGCCUGUUUUGGUUUUCUUCAUGUUUUCUCUUUCGGGUACCUAGAGACAAGAAAAAUACAGUAAAUUUAAUACU
rnacentral:lncRNA from 1 species